rnacentral:rRNA from 1 species
UACGUAGGGUGCAAGCGUUAAUCGGAAUUACUGGGCGUAAAGCGCGCGCAGGCGGUUUUGUAAGACAGGUGUGAAAUCCCCGGGCUUAACCUGGGAACUGCAUUUGUGACUGCAAGGCUGGAGUGCGGCAGAGGGGGAUGGAAUUCCGCGUGUAGCAGUGAAAUGCGUAGAUAUGCGGAGGAACACCGAUGGCGAAGGCAAUCCCCUGGGCCUGCACUGACGCUCAUGCACGAAAGCGUGGGGAGCAAACAGG